UUAUCAAUACUAGCUUUUUACUAGUUCUUUUGAUAAUCUGAUGUACUCGGAAUUGCAAUCCCCAGUUAUCCACGCAUCAAUCUUCUCUUAGCAUACACAAGAAUGCUGGUAAAUCCUGUCUACCCCGUUGUCAUGCCUGGACAACUAUGUGCAGAACAGUGAUUGCAAAACAAAAUUAUCAUUGUGGAUUUGGGACUAGCAGCGUCUCCAACAGCAUUACCAGGUGCCUCUUGCUUAAGGUGUUCUGUCAAGGCUUACACCUUGGCUUACUGAGUCAAACUCAAGCAUAAGCCUCGUGACGGCAGGGAGUUGCCACAUUUGGGCUUUGUUCUUAGCACCCUCAAACCCUCGGUUGCUUGGGUUUUCCAGAAUGUGUUUUAAGGAUUUUUGGGAUGUUCCUAACACAAACCUUCUUAAAAACUAAUAAAAUCAAAAGAAAAGAAAAAGAUUGGAGAUUAGAGGAGAAAAAAUGAACACCCUGUGUGCCCUGGCCCUCUACUUGCACCCCUGAACAGAAACAGAGAAGAAAAAACCAGCAAUGUUGCUCCUUUCUAGCUAGCAUUUAACAAGUUUUUCUUCUUUUCUUUCUUUUACUGUCUUGGAUUUUGUCUCCACUUGUCAGUUUUCUACCUUUGUACUGGAAUCUGGAUCAUCUGACCCAGCAAUGGCCUGAAGAAAAAAAUGUUUACUGACGGGAUGAGACGAAAUAAAUUUGUCUUUGGCUUUCCAGCAUUCACCUCCUUCCCUUGUCAGGCCUUUUCAUUGAGUUUACUCUGGGUUUUGCUUUUUCUAUUAAAACCAAGCUAACGAAAUUUUUGAAGCUUGAUACUUCCAAUUUUGGAUUAGCGACCUUGUCAUAUAAUUACUACUUUCAUUACUGCUUUAUUGAUUUAUUGUUUGCUACCGUAUUGAUGUCUUUUAUGUUUCGAACUGCAAAUUUGACUUUGAUUUUGUUAUAAGCAUUAUUUAUUUAUUUAUUAUUAUUUUUUUUUUUACUAACUCUUCAAUUUUUUUAUUGGUGCCUUGAGGCUUAUGUCUUGCCUCACAGAUGGAAAAUGCUUAGAUUCCUCUAUCUAUCGUUUUUGAAUACUCAGAGAUUAUGAAACUACUUUUUAUCAGUUUAUUUCACAAUUACAAGAACAAACUUUCCUUUACUAUUCUGAUAUCAGUACCAUCUUUUGCAGCUUCCAAAUCUAUGAGCCUCAUUGUUAUUCAUGAAGAAUCUUUUUCUAAUAAAAUCAUCAAUUCCUUAAUUAAGAGUGCUUGUGCAAGUUAAUUUAUCAUGCCUGCAUGACAUCAAAAAAUGACUCAUGCUUUUCAAUUGAAUUUUGGCGACUUUGCAUAAAUGGCUCGGGGAUACAAUUUAUAAUGCUGCUUUUGGC